rnacentral:tRNA from 1 species
GCCUCAGUAGCUCAGUGGCCAGAGCAGCUGAUUUGUAAUCAGCCGGUCCGGGGUUCGACUCCUCGCUGAGGCUCCA